rnacentral:misc_RNA from 1 species
GUGAAUCAUCAAAUUUUUGAACGCAAAUUGCACUCUCUGGCAUUCCGGAGAGUAUGCCUGUUUGAGGGUCAGUAUAAUCAAAAUCGGAGCGAUUCUGUUUGGAUAUGGGACCUGAGUUUGUUCCAUGUCACAUUUUUUUUAAAUGACAUAAAAUUAACAUUUUUUUUUACAGAUUUUGGGAAUAUGCAUAAUUUUUUUUAAUCAGAAA